rnacentral:rRNA from 1 species
AACGAACGCUGGCGGCAUGCCUAACACAUGCAAGUCGAACGAGACCUUCGGGUCUAGUGGCGCACGGGUGCGUAACGCGUGGGAACCUGCCCUUAGGUUCGGAAUAACUCCCCGAAAGGGGUGCUAAUACCGGAUAAUGUCUUCGGACCAAAGAUUUAUCGCCUUUGGAUGGGCCCGCGUUGGAUUAGCUAGUUGGUAGGGUAAAAGCCUACCAAGGCGACGAUCCAUAGCUGGUCUGAGAGGAUGAUCAGCCACACUGGGACUGAGACACGGCCCAGACUCCUACGGGAGGCAGCAGUGGGGAAUAUUGGACAAUGGGCGAAAGCCUGAGCCAGCAAUGCCGCGUGAGUGAUGAAGGCCUUAGGGUUGUAAAGCUCUUUUACCCGGGAUGAUAAUGACGGUACCGGGAGAAUAAGCGCCGGCUAACUCCGUG